rnacentral:tRNA from 1 species
UCGGGCGUAGCUCAGAGGAAGAGCAUCCGGCUGUUAACCGGAGUUGCGGAGGUUCGAGUCCUCCCGCCCGAG